AUUUCAGCACGUCUUCUGGCCUUUUCAGCUAUCAAAGAAGACCCCCUUCCAUUCUCCUCCUUUGCUGCCCUUUCUUCUUUUCCGUAGUCUUUCUUAUAUGUAAACGCUGUCUGUUCAAAUUCACCACACAACUACUUUUUCCAGGCUUCUCCACUCAAGCCAUACCGCACUGUGAACUUGAUUAUGUCCAACGGCACAUAGAAGAUUAUACUGUACAGCCAUAUCACUCCAGCCCAUCUCCAUCCAAUUCCUCUUAUUUUCCCAAAGCUGAUAUAUGCAUACACAGCAAUUAUGGUCGCCACCUAUCCAUUUCACACACAACACUUUAUUAUUCACCUUCUUUAUGGAUUUCCUAUAUAACCACAACUACAUCUGUUUAACAUUACCAGUUGAGCUAUUACAAAUGCACACAUCAGUAGAACCCCUGGUCUCUCUAGAAAUGACCAACCUCGGCUACGAGUAACAAAAAUUAGAGCCUGGCUAAUGAUGCUCACUUGCAGAUAUACUGCAGAUGAUACUUUCUCGCUGUCACUGGAUAUGGAACUUACAUGGAAGUGGCUCUGCAUAAACACUUUCUUCCUAUUAAACAACUUUUUUUUUGCCUUUGAGGUCUUAAAACAAACAAAAGCAGAAGGAGAAACAAAGACUUUUGUACCUCAAAGAAAGUGGUCUCAACUAUUGCCCAGUAGAACAGGACAGUAACCAAAGCAAGAUAAGUGCCAAUCACGAUUCCUGUUGCAAAUAUCUCAGGCAGCUUCCAACUGUCAGGUGUUGGGGAUGGCUUCACUCUGUCUUUAGAUAUGGUCAUUAUGGUACCUAAUUCAAAUUUAAACAAUUAUGAGUUCAAAUCUUACAUAUCACUAUAUCAUAUUUGGUCAACCUUUUUGUCUAUCCUAUUCUGUAAAAACUUCCCUUUAAGUUAUAGAUGUGACAAAGUAAAACUCUCUGUUAAAGAACUUCUGCUGUUUACUCAAAUGAUGAAGAAUAUUUAUAUUCCAAGAUUUUAUACCCUUUUUAUAUUGAUUCUGAAGCUAAAAUUGUACACCUUUGCAAAAUUUACACUCUUGAAUGAACCAAAAAUUUA